rnacentral:misc_RNA from 1 species
CCAAUAGCGUAUAUUAAAGUUGUUGCAGUUAAAAAGCUCGUAGUUGAAUUUCAGGCCUGGCUGGACGGUCCGCCCUUCGGGUGAGUACUGUCUGUGGUCGGGUCCUACCUUCUGGCGAAGCGUCAUGGCCUUAACCGGCCGUGGCGGGGAACCAGGACUUUUACUGUGAAAAAAUUAGAGUGUUCAAAGCAGGCAACUCGCUUGGAUACAUUAGCAUGGAAUAAUGGAAUAGGACAAUGGUUCUAUUUGUUGGUUUCUAGGACCGUUGUAAUGAUUAAUAGGGAUAGUUGGGGGCAUUAGUAUUCAAUUGUCAGAGGUGAAAUUCUUGGAUUUAUUGAAGACUAACUACUGCGAAAGCAUUUGCCAAGGAUGUUUUCAUUAAUCAAGAACGAAAGUUAGGGGAUCGAAGACGAUCAGAUACCGUCGUAGUCUUAACCAUAAACUAUGCCGACUAGGAAUCGGGCGAUGUUGAAAAAAUGACGCGCUCGGCACCUCAUG